GAGUCUUUAACAAAAGUUUGACAAUUCACAGUAUUCUCCCAUUUAGAUUUGAGGAGGUAAUUGUGGAUUUGAAUGAUAUUUAUGUGGUGUGAAAUAUGUUUUGAAGCAAUUAUGCAUCAAUUAUUAUUUUUAAUUGUUGAUCAAAUAAACAAUUUCGGGGCAUAAUGUGAAUUUUAUGUUUAUAUAUGUUCACUAUUAAUAUGAAAAUUAUGA
rnacentral:misc_RNA from 1 species